rnacentral:rRNA from 1 species
CAUUUACGGAGAGUUUGAUCCUGGCUCAGGACGAACGCUGGCGGCGUGCUUAACACAUGCAAGUCGAACGGUGAAGGGG